rnacentral:lncRNA from 1 species
UAUUUUGUAGUUGAAUUGUAGUGGUUUAUCUUUCUGAUCUGAAUGCUGAAUAAUCUUGAUGGUGUCAUGCUAAUAACUUCAUGCAUAAAACACACUUAUGAAGAGGGCUCAUCGUCAAUAAUAGUGGAUAUAAAUCCAUACUUCCAAUAGUCUUCAUGGUAAUUUUGAAUUUUUUAAUGAUUUCUUGGCAGAUCUGAUUAGCCUGUCAUUGUUCUAAACCUCAAGUGGCUGAUGAAGAGCUUGUCAUAGGAGGAGAAGUGCCAGCAUUUCAGCCAUUUUUUUCUGUUGCUCACUUUUGCUUGUAUUAGUAGAAUUAGAUUCAGUCUGAGGUUUCUUUACAGAAAUCUUUUAAAGCCACUUGUCCAUUUUGUGAAGGUCUCUUUAUUGAAACUCAAGGACGUUUGCCAUAUAACCACUAAUGAGGCACCUUUAAAUGAAAAUGCUUUCCAGAAUUCUAGAACUGAACCCACAAGUGGAGCUUCCUCAGCCUUUUUGCUGUGGAGCUGCCUCAUGAUUCAUCUGUAAACCCAACCAGACAGGACUGUCCAACAUUUGGACUGAACAAAGGCAGCAGUGAUCAUCUUUAUACUUAGUAAUAGGAAAGCAUAAUUUGUUUCUUGUUUUUCUUGUUUUUUGAUUUGAAAUACUUAGGAACAGAAGUUCUAAUAUUUUCUGUCUGCACUCCAAGGGAUUGGUUCAGAUGCUCCUGCAUUGGAGACCACAGGAAUAACAAAAAAAUUUCUAGAACCCUGGAGAAGGUUGAACCUACUAAGGGGGCUAAAAGGACCCUAUAGAAGGAGGCAGCCAAGACCAGUCAUACGACUCAUCAACCGAGCACAAAACCACCACAAAAACUGAUAGAACUGAUAGCAAAGGAAAAGUACCAUGGCCCUAGUUCUCUUCAGAGGAUGACAGCAUCACCACUCGUUGUAGACAUCAUGGCAGUGGAGACUAAGGCCAGCCCUGCUUCCUCAUGUGCAGUUCCUGUCACAGCAUUCAUAACCCUGUCACCAAUAUGAGAACUACCUCAGGCUAGCCUGCUGGAAGAUAAGAAACAACAUGGACCAGAGCCAAGUCAUCCUAGCCAAGGCUAUCCUAGACCAACCAACACAGCCACAUUCUCAGCUGAUCACAGAUGCAUGAGCAAGCCCAGCCAAGAUCUGCAGAACCACCCAGAGAAACCCAUAGACUCAUGAAAAAUCAUAAAUGUUUGUUGUUUAAGCAACUAAGUUUGGGGAUGGUUUGUUACAUACUAGUAGUUAACUGAUACAAACAACCAUGCUGGACCACUAUACUAUAUUUUCCUUCAAAUGAUACUGGCUUCACUUGACUCUAGGAUCCUCCAGGAAUGGAUAGCUCCAGCUGUGAAGAACCUUCCUUUAGACUAUCACCUCAUUGCUCCUCAUCCCUGUCUUACCCCUGCCCCUACCAUUAUGCCAACCCAUAAAGGCAGUUAUAAUUAUUCCUCACCUUUAUUCCUUAGUUUUUUCUGGAGUAGAGAGGAAACCAGGGUGCCUCAACUCUAGCACAAUUUUGAGCUCUGUUUCCUUGCCUACUUCUUUGCCCAUCUCUCCAUCAUUUAGGAGGUGGGUUGGAAUUAGCCACAGUCAGUUGUGCCAAAAUAAUAUACCAGGGUAAUGAGAAGAAGGCACAGAUAGCGCUGGGAAUCAACCCCUCGCACCUUUGGCCUGUCUCUCAGGGUGAGCUUCUUACUCAGUAGUGGUGGGGACCCAAAGUCCCUGAAGGCAUGCUCCUGCUUUGUCACCUGAUCCCCAAAUGAAACCUUGCAAAGCUAAAUUCUCCCUGCCUGCCAGGACUCAGGCAGGGGGCAGCAAGCAGUACCUACAUAGGACUGAAUGGCCCCAGCUGCUCAACUCGAAUUUAAAAAUAAUUUGGCAAUGUGUUCCACAGAGUGAAAGCCUUCUGGGGCAUUUCUGCCAGAUGCCUCCAGCUACUGGGUUCCCACGGAAAGGGAGUGUCAAGUCCUGGGCCCAGAAGAUAUUCUGGGGAUCUGGAACAGGGUACAUA